GAUGAACGCUGGCGGCGUGCCUAAUACAUGCAAGUCGAGCGAACAGAUGAGGAGCUUGCUCCUCUGACGUUAGCGGCGGACGGGUGUGUAACACGUGGAUAACCUACCUAUAAGACUGGGAUAACUUCGGGAAACCGGAGCUAAUACCGGAUAAUAUAUUGAACCGCAUGGUUCAAUAGUGAAAGACGGUUUUGCUGUCACUUAUAGAUGGAUCCGCGCCGCAUUAGCUAGUUGGUAAGGUAACGGCUUACCAAGGCAACGAUGCGGAGCCGACCUGAGAGGGUGAUCGGCCACACUGGAACUGAGACACGGUCCAGACUCCUACGGGAGGCAGCAGUAGGGAAUCUUGCGCAAAGGGCGAAAGCCUGACGGAGCAACGCCGCGUGAGUGAUGAAGGUCUUCGGAUCGUAAAACUCUGUUAUUAGGGAAGAAAAAGUGUGUAAGUAACUAUGCACGUCUUGACGGUACCUAAUCAGAAAGCCACGGCUAACUACGUG
rnacentral:rRNA from 1 species